rnacentral:lncRNA from 1 species
GCCGUUGACAGAAUGCAGGCGGGAAGCUUCAGUUUGGGUAGAGAUGUAGCAUCAAACAUUCACGGAUGUCCAGGGAGCACGGGCACACAGGCUGCUGGCCAGAGCAGACUAUUAUGAGCACAAUACACUAGUCAUGUCGGAGAUAACAGCUUGACCUCAGCGUGGCUGCAAAAUGAAGCCACGUUUGGCUUUCCUAAGCCAUCAGGAGGCUGCUCACAGUGCUGCUGGACUCUUUAAGCCCUG